rnacentral:lncRNA from 1 species
GUUGAAAAAUGGUACAAAGCCAGCAACGAUAGAGGCGGUUAUAAGUGAUCAGAAGCCAGAAGUUGUUUAGUCGUCGGUUGCGGAUGGUUCAAUAUGUGUUUCAAACCCAGUUAUUUAAUGUAUGCCAUCUACUCGGAUGCUUGUUAACAAACCCAGGGGCUGGACGUGAACUCCUUAAAGGCGUCUCAAGGUAAUUUCUUUGGUUCUAGUUCCAUGAGGUCGGUUUGGGUUGCAAGUAUGAAGGGAAGAGGUCGGUUUAGGUUGCAAGUAUGAAGACAUUGGU